rnacentral:rRNA from 1 species
CACGUAGGGUGCGAGCGUUGUCCGGAAUUAUUGGGCGUAAAGAGCUCGUAGGCGGUGUGUCGCGUCGGCCGUGAAAACCUACAGCUUAACUGUGGGCGUGCGGUCGAUACGGGCAUCACUAGAGUUCGGCAGGGGAGACUGGAAUUCCUGGUGUAGCGGUGAAAUGCGCAGAUAUCAGGAGGAACACCGGUGGCGAAGGCGGGUCUCUGGGCCGAUACUGACGCUGAGGAGCGAAAGCGUGGGGAGCGAACAGG